rnacentral:lncRNA from 1 species
AUCUGCAAGCCAACUAUAUUUCACUCAUAAAAUAUGAUCAUCCACAAAAUAUGUCUUUGUGAACAACUGUGAUUGAGUGUAUUCAAGUGACGUAAUCCGCGUGGAAGUGGACCAUUUUACAUGAUUAACCCUACAUAUUAGGGUCAUAUAUAUAAACAAAGAUGGCUUCAUUGAAUAAAGAGGCUUCUGUGUUUCAAGCAGCGAUUUUUGCCAUAACACAAGGUGUAGAAGCUCUUCUCAAGUACGAAAAAACACUGAACAUCUAAUAAUCAGAUCGGACUCCCAAUCAGCAAUUGCUGCAAUCUUUAAUCCACUUACUACUUGUAAAGAAGUUUAAAAAUGUAAAUAAAUCAUCAUCAAAGGAAUGAAUGAGAAAAAUAUAGAUCUAUUAUGGUGCAAAGGACAUUCUGAUAUUACAGGAAAUGAAUUUGCAGACCAUCUUGCGAGUAGGAGUACUGAGAGCAAAAACCAGUUUACUAUUGGGACACCUCCAAGCUACAUAAAGAAGGUAAUUCAUGACUGUUUCUAUCAAUAUUGGUUUGACCGAAUUAAAAAAGAUCAAAGUAUGAACCAUAUGCAUACUAUUCUUAAUAAGCCGAAGUCGAAGUGUAUCAAGCUCGGAAGAGAAAAAUUGUGACUUAUUGUACAUGCCUACACUGGACAUGACCCUUUUUUAGCCCCCCUAAGCAAGUGAAAAGCCAUAAACUCAACGUGCAAUGUCUGUAUGGAAGAACUGCAAAGUGAAGACAAUCUCAUCUUACGAAAGACAUCAAGCAAUGAAUGAGGAAAAAUAAGACUUUCGUAUUUUAAAAUUUAUGAAAUGUAAAAAAAUAAAAAAUAUAUUGUUCCAACAAAAUUUUAAUGUACACUAGGAUUUAGAAUUUGCUGUAGUAACAGAAAUACUCUGUUGUUUGGCUGUGUUCGUUUUAUUUUAUGUAUCUAUGCCAAGCAGUAAUAAAUAUUCAAUUAACUAACAAAUAUAUAGACAAGGCAAUUGAGAAAAUAUAAAUUUGAUAGACAGUAAGGUUUAAGUCCUUUUAUUAAUUGAUUCCAUCUUGACUUCCAAUAGCUCAAUAGUUUCUGUUAUAUAAUAUUAAUGAAAAAAUGUGUUUCAUUGUUAUAACACGUCUUGGUUGUUUAGGUGCCCAAAAUGUGCCUACGCCCGACUUCAACAAUGCCAACGUCACGCAUUUUGUAAUAAACAAACAAAGUACGCAGCAACAUAGUAGAAUUUCAACAACAAACAAAUGUCGUAAUAAUUUGAAAAGUUUUAUGCGUAUUAUUUAUUUAACUUCUUCAAAAAUUUUAAAGCAAUUAAGCCGUUAAAACAUGUACAUAUUAUUCUAAAUCGUGGGUGAAUAUGGAAAAAGAGUAUUUAAAUUCCGCAUGAUAAGAAAGGUUGCGUGUAUACGUACAAAUACAAUCUUCCGUUAUUAAUAAGACUGUGUAUAUGAAUCACCUAGUCUUUACAUUUUAUGCAGCCAUCUAUAACUUAGACAUAAUUAUACGGCAAUGGCGUUCUUGUGUAUCUUAAUUUGUAUAGGAUGUUCUGAGAGAGAAGGUUGCGAAAUACUAUAAAGGUACCGAUGUGAUAUGUACACUGCUCAUCAUCUAUUUAAUGGUCUACUGAAUAAGAUUAUUUACAUAUAAUACAUACCUGUUUGUUCCUCCAAGCGUUUACGAAGUUGCUCAAUUUCAUUUCUGGAUUGGGAGAGUUCCCCCUCAAACCUUUCAAAUUUUUCUUCAUAUUCUU